AUCUACUUCCACUAUGGUCAAUUUGUGAUUAGCUACGGUGAAGAAGGUCUCCAUGUUAAUGCCAGCAUUUAUCAGCCUUAGUAGGUACGUCUUCCUUGGCAUUAUCUUAAUCUUAUAAACAUCUGAAAUAUAAAGAUAGAAAAAGGUUCUAUGAUCUGUUUUCUCCAUAUAUACCAAUCAUACUAUUGUUCAUCUGAUAUUUACCAUUAGAGGAGCAAUUGUAGUUAGGUCCUGGUUGACCAUUAAUUGUGAAUGCAUCUGCUGGAGGCGGAGGUCCUCCACUCUCCAGUACAUUUUGUUCCAGCUCUACCACGUUCUUAAGCCAAUACUCUCCUAGAUUUAUCAGGAGGAAAACAAAUUCAGUGAAACCACUUAGUGAAAUAGACUAACUUUAUUAAGAAUAAAUAUUACCUAGGAGAAUUGUAUGCUCGUUAAAGGGUUUCUUGAAUGGGUAAGGAACAGAUGAUUUAGGAUAUACAAUAAGCGGACCAUAAACUGUAGCCCUAAGCCAAGAAAAGUGUGCAUGCCAUAAAAAGGUGCCCUUUUGUUGUGCCACUGUGAAGUUGUAUGUGAAACUUUGUCCACUUUGAAUUGGACAUUGUGUGAUAUAAGAUGGACCAUCAUACCAACAUGAUAGUUUUUGCUUAAUACCAUGCCUGGGCAGAGUAGAAACAGGUUUUUAGUAUAGAAUUUGUCUUAUAAGCAUUUAAAUAUUAUGUACAUGAGUAUAUGUAUAUGAGUAUAUCGACAUACCAAUGAAUUGUGGUGUUAUAGGGGGUCAUGUUGAUGACUUCAACGACAAUUCUGUCAUCUUCUUGAGCGGAUAUUGUAGGGCCAGGGAAUUUCCCGUUCACUGUUACAAUCUCUUUUGUUUGGCAUAGCCUUGUGAGUGUAUUUGUUUGUACCUGUUAGAAAAUUCAGUGACACAACAGACCUCUGUUUACCUCUUUUUAGAUAUCUGAAUGCAGUGAAGAUAGACCAAAAAGGCAUGCAUGAAAUGAAAUAUGUGUUCCAUUUUCAUUCAAAAUUUGGAUACUGAGAUAACAUUUACGUUGCUGAUACCUUGAAUUGGUAGAACCUAGUUGCAGCGCUAAUCCUGCUAACAAUCAUUACUUGAAGAGUGAACAAGAAAAAGCUAAACCGGAACAAGGACGGGACAGCUGAAUUGGUCAUCUUGAAUGGAAAGAGACACAGAGUUUUGAGGUUGAAUGGUACUGAUUUAUGCAACUGAAUUUAUAGUGUUUGAAGGCAAAAGAUAGGAAAUAUAAUAUAUAGGUUUGAGAAAAAGUUUCAUGAUUUGGAGAGAGUUGGAAACAGAGACAUUAGUGAUUAUAAGGUGUUGGGAAGGCGUGACUUGUUUCUUGACCCCAGCGUGAGAUUGAAGGUAACACACGAGUUACUCUAAAAGGGUUAAAAAAGGAGAAAUAUACUGUUAAUUAGUGUCUGCACUUUGAUUUUAAAUCAGUAAAAGCUUUAUAUAUUAUGAUGCAGGAUUCUCUACCAAACUUGUGAAACUGCUGACUGAUCUGGACCAACCCAGUUUUCACCAAGACUACCAAGCAACUUUCUUCGUCAGGCUUUAGUGGAACCGACCUGGUGACUAUUUCUUUUGACCUGUCGUCAUAUAUUGGAAUAACAUACGAGUUUUGGGAUUAGCCAGGAUAAGUGAGGUGCAUGAUUCAGCAUCAUUAAGAGAGUGUUUAGUAGGGUCGUGUUGGUAUUUUGAGAGUGUUAAAAGAGAAAGAAACAAGAAAGAGUAAGAAGGGAUCAAGUUUCUUGGUCGGAUGUUUGAAUGGUCUUAAUCCUUUAUUGGUGGCGUCAUCAUCAAAGUUUGUGCACGCCUUAACUUGCCAAAUACUCAUCCUAUUUGAGAUUUUUUUUUUUUUUUUUUUUUUCAGAUUGGAACAUGAUGAUUGAUUCGAAUUUUGACCUACUCAUAUUUUCCAUACUCGAAAGGUAACUGAAUUUAAUGCGUUGCUUUGCAUG
rnacentral:lncRNA from 1 species